AGCAUGUUAGCUCAGGGGAAGAGCGGUAUUUCUACCACGUGACCCUAUAUUCGAUUGAUUAAAUAACUAACAUGAUAUAGCCGGGCUCAUAACCCGGAGGACCCUGGAUCGAAACCAGGACAUGCUA